AUACUUACCUGGAUGUGGUCAAUGGGUGAUUAGUAAGACCCAUGGUCUGGGCUUGUGGCCUUUAUUGCACUUUGGAGGGGUGCCUACCUAAGGUUAGCUCAAGUGGUUGAGCCUAUGUCAUAAUUUGUGGUAGAGAGGGCCUGUGUUUGUGUGCCCCCUGC
rfam:Capsicum annuum cultivar Zunla-1 unplaced genomic scaffold scaffold258, whole genome shotgun sequence